UCCAUUAAACUAUGCAUCUCUGGGUAAAUAUAAGAUAAAAUGUGGACAGGGUCAACUUUCACUAAUCUCAAUUCAAUGCACGGUGACUCUGGUCAACUUUCACUAAUCUUAAUUCAAUACACUGUGACUCUAGUCAGCGGAAGUUUAUUAAUUAUUGAAAAAAUGAAAGUGUUGAUUAUUUUUGUUACCCUUGUAUAUUUUGCAUUUAGCUGUGAGGAGUGUGACUAUCCUUUCAGUAACUAUGCAACCUGCACAGGAGAAACGGUCUGCGUUUAUGGGGCCGAAAAUGUGCAGGUUGAAUGUUGGAUGCGAGACAUUACAACAGAUACAGUUAUUAAACAAUUAUUUGUGAGAGGGGAUUGCAAUAUAUUACAUUUCAAACAAUUUUGCAGUCGAGGAGUUGAAAUCAUUGAAAUGGUGAAUUCCAACGACAAUCUAUCGUGUUCAGAAACGUCCACAGCUAGGAGCAUGGAAAACACUAAUGAAAUAGCAGAUAUCACUACGCCGACUAAUCAUAUCCCCCAUGGCAUCUCAACACAGGGAGGCAAGAUUACCUCUGUCACGACCCCGGUAUCUUUUAGUAAAACUACAUCUAAAAAUGCAGAAUCAUCCACCCUUAUUAGUGCGACCUCUACUUUGACCUCCGAUGGACCCACGAUUUCACACAUCACGUCCUCCACAACGCAUCUUGCGUCCACGACAAUUUUAUCCUCGACGAAACCUACUGACGAAAAUGAUAACAAGGGUAUGGGGAGUGAACUUGAUUUUUUAUUUAUCUUAAUUGUAUUGCCUAUACUCUUCAUCGCAUGUGUGAUAGGUUUAAGAUUAAGACGUAUACGUAAAAGACGUAUUAAUAACCAAUCGCCUGAGAUGGAAGAGAUGGACGAAAUUGAAGAGACGGUAUUUGAUCGAAAUCACUAAGAAAUAAAAUACAAUUGCAUGUCAAAUUAAGUGUGAAGACUUGUAAUGUGUACACGAAGCAAUGCGUGAAACCAUGCACGGGUUUUGUUUGUCUACUAAUAUAUCAAUUUACUACCUUGCAUGAAAUGAAAAUUUGCUAGAAUGUAUUAGACCAAAUCAAAAUACUUCUUAAUUUUUUUUCAAACUCGCCAUUUCACAACCGUACAAUACACAGGCUCCGAAAGGAUUCACCCGUUAUCAACACCCCGGCCGAGCGCUUUGAUGCGGACAAUGGCGUAUAAAACCACGGUGGUCUCUAAUAGGGGUGUUUAAAAAUGAAAUAGAUUAUUUAUUUACCUAUAUUCUUUUACAUGUCUUAUUUAUAGUGUGUGUAUGGGUUUUAAGGUUCACACGGAGAAAAAAAUAAAAUCGGAUUCAACUGAUAUGAAUAUUGUAAUUACUAAGAAAGAAAUAUGCAAACCAAAAUUGUAAAAAUAAUGUAAAAUCUGUGAUCAUUAUAAGUAUCAAAAUUUAUUUUGAGUGUGUAGUAGCUCCGACUUGAGAUAACAUUAGAUAAGGCCAUACAAGUUGCAUGUUACUUAAUCAACUAAUCUCUUUUUUUUAUGUAUUUGUUGACUAAAUCUGUUCUUGCAUGAAUUGACGAAUCCAGGGGGUAUGUACUAGUUUCGAUAAAGUAAGUUGACGAAGCGUACGGAUUAGCCGUAACCGCUUUUGCGGUUAUUGUGACUGCGGCGGUGGUAUGGGGAGUGAGGAUCCUCUGGCAGAGAUUUAAAUGCGCCUGGAAACCACCACUCGCCAGGCGAGGAGCCGACC